rnacentral:rRNA from 1 species
CCGGGAGGCGGCGGACGGCUCAGGACAACGGUUGCACCCCCCGCGGCGGUCCCUGCUAGCCGGACACCGCUGGCAACCCGGCGCCAAGACGUGCGCGCAAGGGCGGGCGCCCGCGGGCGAGCAGCGUGACGCAG